rnacentral:rRNA from 1 species
GACGAACCGUGCGAACGUUGUUCGGAAUCACUGGGCUUAAAGGGCGCGUAGGCGGGCGGCCAAGUCCGGGGUGAAAUCCUCCAGCUCAACUGGAGAAUGGCCUCGGAUACUGGUUGCCUCGAGUGAGGUAGGGGCGUGCGGAACUGAUGGUGGAGCGGUGAAAUGUGUUGAUAUCAUCAGGAACUCCGGUGGCGAAGGCG